AGUAGUCAUAUGCUUGUCUCAAAGAUUAAGCCAUGCAUGUCUAAGUAUAAGCACUCAUACUGUGAAACUGCGAAUGGCUCAUUAAAUCAGUUAUCGUUUAUUUGAUAGUACCUUUACCUGGAUAACCGUGGUAAUUCUAGAGCUAAUACAUGCUAAAAACCCCAACUUCGGGAGGGGUGUAUUUAUUAGAUAAAAAACCAAUGCCCUCUGGGCUCCUUGGUGAUUCAUAAUAACUUAACGAAUCGCAUGGCCUUGCGCCGGCGAUGGUUCAUUCAAAUUUCUGCCCUAUCAACUUUCGAUUGUAGGAUAGAGGCCUACAAUGGUCUUAACGGGUAACGGGGAAUUAGGGUUCGACUCCGGAGAGGGAGCCUGAGAAACGGCUACCACAUCCAAGGAAGGCAGCAGGCGCGCAAAUUACCCAAUGCUAAUUCAGCGAGGUAGUGACAAUAAAUACUGAUACGGGGCUCUUUCGGGUCUCGUAAUUGGAAUGAGUACAAUCUAAAUCCCUUAACGAGGAACAAUUGGAGGGCAAGUCUGGUGCCAGCAGCCGCGGUAAUUCCAGCUCCAAUAGCGUAUAUUAAAGUUGUUGCCGUUAAAAAGCUCGUAGUUGAACCUUGGACCUGGCUGAUCUGUCCUCCUAAUCGAGCGCACGGAUUCGGUCGGGUCUUUCCUUCUGGGGAGCCCCAUGCCCUUCACUGGGUGUGGUGGGGAACCAGGACUUUUACCUUGAAAAAAUUAGAGUGUUCAAAGCAGGCCUUUGCUCGAAUACAUUAGCAUGGAAUAAUAGAAUAGGACAUCGGUUCUAUUUUGUUGGUUUCUAGGACCGCUGUAAUGAUUAAUAGGGAUAGUCGGGGGCGUCAGUAUUCAAUUGUCAGAGGUGAAAUUCUUGGAUUUAUUGAAGACUAACUACUGCGAAAGCAUUCGCCAAGGAUGUUUUCAUUAAUCAGUGAACGAAAGUUAGGGGAUCGAAGACGAUCAGAUACCGUCGUAGUCUUAACCAUAAACUAUGCCGACUAGGGAUCGGACGGUGGUUUUUUUAUGCCCCGUUCGGCACCUUACGAGAAAUCAAAGUUUUUGGGCUCGGGGGGGAGUAUGGUCGCAAGGCUGAAACUUAAAGAAAUUGACGGAAGGGCACCACCAGGCGUGGAGCCUGCGGCUUAAUUUGACUCAACACGGGGAAACUCACCAGGUCCAGACAUGCUUAGGAUUGACAGAUUGAUAGCUCUUUCUUGAUUGUAUGGGUGGUGGUGCAUGGCCGUUCUUAGUUGGUGGAGUGAUUUGUCUGCUUAAUUGCGAUAACGAACGAGACCUUGACCUGCUAAAUAGCCAGGUUGACUUUUGUCGGCCGCCGGCUUCUUAGAGGGACUUUUGGCUCAAGCCAAUGGAAGUACGAGGCAAUAACAGGUUAACCUUGGGUUAUACAACUCAUCACAGGCCUGUAAGAGUGAGCCUCAUAAAAUAAAUCACUAGUCAAGCAUCAUUCCUCUCGGUGGAAGUUCCACCUCUAGUCGGGAGAGGGGCAACCAGAAAUGGUUGUUGAUGCU
rnacentral:rRNA from 1 species